UACGUAGGGUCCAAGCGUUAUCCGGAAUUACUGGGCAUAAAGCGUGUGUAGGCGGCGCGUUAAGUGCAACGCGAAAUCUUGCGGCUCAACCGUAUAGACUGUGUUGCAUACUGGCGUGCUCGAGGACGUGAGAGGCAAGUGGAAUUUGUAGUGUAGCAGUGAAAUGCGUAGAUAUUACAAGGAACACCAAUGGCGAAGGCAGCUUGCUGGCACGUAUCUGACGCUGAGACACGAAAGCGUGGGGAGCGAACAGG
rnacentral:rRNA from 1 species